UGGGGAAUAUUGGACAAUGGGCGAAAGCCUGAUCCAGCCAUGCCGCGUGUGUGAAGAAGGUCUUCGGAUUGUAAAGCACUUUAAGUUGGGAGGAAGGGCAUUAACCUAAUACGUUAGUGUUUUGACGUUACCGACAGAAUAAGCACCGGCUAACUCUGUGCCAGCAGCCGCGGUAAUACAGAGGGUGCAAGCGUUAAUCGGAAUUACUGGGCGUAAAGCGCGCGUAGGUGGUUUGUUAAGUUGGAUGUGAAAGCCCCGGGCUCAACCUGGGAACUGCAUCCAAAACUGGCAAGCUAGAGUACGGUAGAGGGUGGUGGAAUUUCCUGUGUAGCGGUGAAAUGCGUAGAUAUAGGAAGGAACACCAGUGGCGAAGGCGACCACCUGGACUGAUACUGACACUGAGGUGCGAAAGCGUGGGGAGCAAACC
rnacentral:rRNA from 1 species